GAUGAAGAACGCAGCGAAAUGCGAUAAGUAGUGUGAAUUGCAGAAUUCAGUGAAUCAUCGAAUCUUUGAACGCACAUUGCGCCCCUUGGUAUUCCAUGGGGCAUGCCUGUUCGAGCGUCAUCUACACCCUCAAGCUCUGCUUGGUGUUGGGCGUCUGUCCCGCCCCCGCGCGUGGACUCGCCCCAAAUCCAUUGGCAGCGUUCCUUGCCCCCUCUCGCGCAGCACAUUGCGCUUCUCGAGGGCGGCUCCGGGACGCGAUCCAGCAAGAUGACCACCGUCUUUGACCUCGGAUCAGGUAGGGAUACCCGCUGAACUCAAGCAUAUCAAUAAGCGGAGGA
rnacentral:misc_RNA from 1 species